UACGUAGGGGGCAAGCGUUGUCCGGAUUCAUUGGGCGUAAAGAGCGUGUAGGCGGCCAGGUAGGUCGGUUGUGAAAACUGGAGGCUCAACCUUCAGAGGUCGACCGAAACCAUCUGGCUAGAGUCCGGGAGAGGAGAGUGGAAUUCCUGGUGUAGCGGUGAAAUGCGCAGAUAUCAGGAGGAACACCAAUGGCGAAGGCAGCUCGCUGGGACGUGAUUGACGCUGAGACGCGAAAGCGUGGGGAGCAAACAGG
rnacentral:rRNA from 1 species